UACGUAGGGACCAAGCGUUGUUCGGAUUUACUGGGCGUAAAGGGCGCGUAGGCGGUGCGGUAAGUCACUUGUGAAAUCUCUGAGCUUAACUCAGAACGGCCAAGUGAUACUGCAGUACUAGAGUGCAGAAGGGGCAAUCAGAAUUCUUGAGUGUAGCGGUGAAAUGCGUAGAUAUCAAGAGGAAUACCUGAGGUGAAGACGGGUUGCUAGGCUGACACUGACGCUGAGGCGCGAAAGCCAGGGGAGCAAACGGG
rnacentral:rRNA from 1 species